rnacentral:miRNA from 1 species
UGAGCACUCAGCCCAACUCCUA